GCAAAGCCUCUCCAUGGC
rnacentral:misc_RNA from 1 species